rnacentral:rRNA from 1 species
CCUACGGGAGGCAGCAGUGGGAAUCUUAGACAAUGGGCGCAANCCUGAUCUAGCCAUGCCGCGUGAGUGAUGAAGGCCCUAGGNUCGUAAAGCUCUUUCNCCAGNGAUGAUAAUGACAGUANCUGUNNAAGAAACCCCGGCUAACUCCGUGCCAGCANCCGCGGUAAUACGGAGGGGGUUAGCGUUGUUCGGAAUUACUGGGCGUAAAGCGNACGUAGGCGGAUUAAUAAGUUAGAGGUGAAAUCCCAGGGCUCAACCCUGGAACUGCCUUUAAUACUGNUAGUCUUGAGUUCGAGAGAGGUGAGUGGAAUUCCNAGUGUAGAGGUGAAAUUCGUAGAUAUUUGGAGGAACACCAGUGGCGAAGGCGGCUCACUGGCUCGAUACUGACNCUGAGGUACGAAAGUGUGGGGAGCAAACAGGAUUAGAUACCCUGGUAGUCCACACCGUANACGAUGAAUGCCAGACGUCAGCNAGCAUACUUGUNGGUGUCACACCUAACGGNUUAAGC